UUCCCCGCCGAAAGCAACAAAUUAAAGGGUAUAAAUUAACGGGGGUGGGGAGUGGGGAUACCCGGAAAAGAAUUUCCCAGGGGGGGCCUGCGGAGGGAUSAUUACCGRGYUAUCCAACUCCCAACCCCUGUGWAUUAUACCUUUAAUUGUUGCUUCGGCGGGACUUCGCGCCCGCCGGGGACCCAAACCUUCUGAAUUUUUUAAUAAGUAUCUUCUGAGUGGUUAAAAAAAAUGAAUCAAAACUUUCAACAACGGAUCUCUUGGUUCUGGCAUCGAUGAAGAACGCAGCGAAAUGCGAUAAGUAAUGUGAAUUGCAGAAUUCAGUGAAUCAUCGAAUCUUUGAACGCACAUUGCGCCCGUCAGUAUUCUGGCGGGCAUGCCUGUUCGAGCGUCAUUACGCCCCUCAAGUCCCCUGUGGGACUUGGUGUUGGGGAUCGGCGAGGCUGGUUUUCCAGCACAGCCGUCCCUUAAAUUAAUUGGCGGUCUCGCCGUGGCCMUCCUCUGCGCAGUAGUAAAGCACUCGCAACAGGAGCCCGGCGCGGUCCACUGCCGUAAAACCCCCCAACUUWUUAUAGUUGACCUCGAAUGCAGGUAGUCGMCUACCCSCKRAACUUAAGCAUAUGAAACGGGGGGAAAUACAUUGUUUAGCAUCUUAAUUGUAUUGCACAUAAGA
rnacentral:rRNA from 1 species